GACGAACGCUGGCGGCGUGCUUAACACAUGCAAGUCGAACGGUAAGGCCCUUCGGGGUACACGAGUGGCGAACGGGUGAGUAACACGUGGGUGAUCUGCCCUGCACUUCGGGAUAAGCCUGGGAAACUGGGUCUAAUACCGGAUAGGACUCCUGGCUUCAUGGUUGGGGGUGGAAAGCUUUUGCGGGGUGGGAUGGGCCCGCGGCCUAUCAGCUUGUUGGUGGGGUAAUGGCCUACCAAGGCGACGACGGGUAGCCGGCCUGAGAGGGUGACCGGUCACACUGGUACUGAGAUACGGCCCAGACUCCUACGGGAGGCAGCAGUGGGGAAUAUUGCACAAUGGGCGCAAGCCUGAUGCAGCGACGCCGCGUGAGGGAUGACGGCCUUCGGGUUGUAAACCUCUUUCAGCACCGACGAAGCGCAAGUGACGGUAGGUGCAGAAGAAGGACCGGCCAACUACGUGCCAGCAGCAGCCGCCG
rnacentral:rRNA from 1 species